rnacentral:tRNA from 1 species
GUUAAUGUAGCUUAAUAAUAAAGCAAAGCACUGAAAAUGCUUAGAUGGAUCCUUUUAUCCCAUAAACA